rnacentral:rRNA from 1 species
CCUUCCGUAGGUGAACCUGCGGAAGGAUCAUUACAUU